UAAUACGGAGGGAGCUAGCGUUGUUCGGAAUUACUGGGCGUAAAGCGUACGUAGGCGGUUAUUCAAGUCAGAGGUGAAAGCCUGGAGCUCAACUCCAGAACUGCCUUUGAAACUAGAUAGCUAGAAUCUUGGAGAGGUUAGUGGAAUUCCGAGUGUAGAGGUGAAAUUCGUAGAUAUUCGGAAGAACACCAGUGGCGAAGGCGACUAACUGGACAAGUAUUGACGCUGAGGUACGAAAGCGUGGGGAGCAAACAGGAUUAGAUACCCUGGUAGUCCACGCCGUAAACGAUGAUAACUAGCUGUUCGGGCUCUACGAGCUUGAGUGGCGCAGCUAACGCAUUAAGUUAUCCGCCUGGGGAGUACGGUCGCAAGAUUA
rnacentral:rRNA from 1 species